CUUAAUAAGAAGCAAAAUGCAGUUAGUUUCGACCUAAAAGUUUGAUAUUAAAAUAUCCUUAUU
rnacentral:tRNA from 1 species